rnacentral:piRNA from 2 species
UUUAAUAUCUGAUACGUCCUCUAU